rnacentral:rRNA from 1 species
GGUGAACGCUGGCGGUAGGCCUAACACAUGCAAGUCGAACGGCAGCACAGUAAGAGCUUGCUCUUACGGGUGGCGAGUGGCGGACGGGUGAGGAAUACAUCGGAAUCUACUUUUUCGUGGGGGAUAACGUAGGGAAACUUACGCUAAUACCGCAUACGACCUACGGGUGAAAGCAGGGGAUCUUCGGUCCUUGCGCGAUUGAAUGAGCCGAUGUCGGAUUAGCUAGUUGGCGGGGUAAAGGCCCACCAAGGCGACGAUCCGUAGCUGGUCUGAGAGGAUGAUCAGCCACACUGGAACUGAGACACGGUCCAGACUCCUACGGGAGGCAGCAGUGGGGAAUAUUGGACAAUGGGCGCAAGCCUGAUCCAGCCAUACCGCGUGGGUGAAGAAGGCCUUCGGGUUGUAAAGCCCUUUUGUUGGGAAAGAAAAGCAGCAGGUUAAUACCCCGCUGUUCUGACGGUACCCAAAGAAUAAGCACCGGCUAACUUCGUG